GUGUAGCCAAUCUCACGUGGUUAACUGACGUUGUCAUUUGGAGCAUGUUCAGUGACAACGUCAGUUAACCACGUGAGAUUGGCUACACUU